UACGUAGGGGCCAAGCGUUGUCCGGAUUUAUUGGGCGUAAAGAGCUCGUAGGCGGUUCGGCAAGUCAGCUGUGAAAUCUCCACGCUCAACGUGGAGGGGUCAGCUGAUACUGCUGUGACUCGAGUCCGGUAGGGGAGUGUGGAAUUCCCGGUGUAGCGGUGAAAUGCGCAGAUAUCGGGAGGAACACCAGUAGCGAAGGCGGCACUCUGGGCCGGUACUGGACGCUGAGGAGCGAAAGCGUGGGGAGCGAACAGG
rnacentral:rRNA from 1 species